GACAUCCAAAGGCCAAAGUAUUAUAGCACACCAUGAUACUACUUCAGAUGACAUCUAAUACAUGUUGCGCCUUCAGCAGUGUCAGAAUGGAAGAAAGACUUUAUCCACAUGAGCAAAGUAAGAAGCCCGAGCCCCCAGAGAACACGUAACCCACCGGCACAUCAGCAGCCUGGAACAAGGACUGCACAUCUGCAGUCUGAUGCUACAGGACAGGAGCUCAGUGUAAGGCAGAACAAAAGAGAAGUCCAAACUGAACUUUUUACACCUCCACAUACCCCUUUUUAAUAUGUUAUUUUGCACUGUGUACAUGGAAACCAAAAAUAAACAAAGAAUUUUAGCCAAACUCCCCUUCCUCCUCCAGCUUUAUUGAUAGUUUAAAAUUACAUUUUCUAUGUUCUAGGACUUCAAUUGCUUUUACCAUCUUACUUUAAAAACUGAUUACAAGCAAAUGAAACUCAGUUGUCUAAGUGAUAUAGUAUACAAAAAUAACAUCUUGAUUUCUGUGAAAAUGCAUUUAUUUGCAACUCCUGAAUAGCUCCAAAUUGUAUAUGCUAUGAGCACUGAUGUCUGGGUUUCAGAUUUACUUUGAAGUAUUUAUUCGAAAGCUUCCCAUUACGUUCUGUUUCUCCGACAUGGACAUUCACUGACUGAAUUACUGUUAUUUUAAAGUUUAUUCCUGAUUUCUCUCUCUCUCGUGGCCAUCAACAGGCAUGUGCAUCUUGUUUAUUUACUCCCACUCAGCUAUAUGCUCUAGGUAGGGCCUGAUACAGAUAUUACUCGGUGUUAACAGCUACUGAGGUCAGACAAUCCAAGGCCAUUGUAAUAAAAUUAAAGUUAUGAGGAAGUUCAGACACUUCCAGAAUUUCUUUUCUCCUGCAUAGGAUCACUUCCAUGUAACCCAGAGAGGGUUUGCUGGUCUGACUCAACUCUUCCCACUCAUCAAUCCCUAUUCACCAGUGGCACGGAAAGGGGGUUCUUUAACAAAGCAUUAUACAUAACACCUCUACCAAACUAAACAUAAACAUUUUUGUAGUUAAAUGCAGAAAGUUGAUUUUUCCACCCCUUUCCUCCUUUUACACGGCAAGUAAAGCUCACUGGCCUGGGAGUAGCCUCUAUCUGCCAACCUUUGGCCAGUGAAGAGGAUUCAGAGAAAAAUAAUACAACCAUCAAUCAGAAAAAGGAGGGGCGACAAAGGAAAAUAAUUAGGCUGUAGCUUCAAUUGUGCAUUCCCGUGCAAGGUGCCCUGACUCGCCGCAGCGAUAGCAGUUGACUUCACUGGUCUUGCUGCAGUUGAUGGCUACAUGGCCAGUUUCACCACACCUAUAGCAUUUCACUUUGGUGCAGUCUUUUUGAAUGUGUCCAAAUUCUCCACAAGAGUAGCAUUUCUGCUCGUCCGCAUGGUCACAGUCACGAGCCAGGUGGCCAGGUUUGCCACAGUUGUAGCAGCACUGCUCUCUCUCCCUCUUCGGCUCCUUGCAGUCCUUCGCAAUAUGGCCACCUCUACCGCAGUUAUAGCAGGCUUCAUCCUCCUGAAGAUCACAGUCCUUGGCAAGAUGGCCAGACUCACCACAGCGGUAACAGAUGUCCGGGAGAGAUGAAGACAUGAACUGGAAGCCUGCUCUGCCACGGCUUCUCAUCCCACGACCACGGCCAAUCCCAGUUGGGCACUCCCGGGCCCAAUGGCCAGUGCGUCCGCACUUAAAGCACUCGUUGCUGCUCAUGGUUGCAGAUCACCUGCCUGCGGACUCCGAACCCCGCUGCGGCAGAAGCGCGCCCGCACGUCGCUAGGCCUCGCUGGCUGCCGGCCGUGCCCGCUGCUCCCGAGUCCCUUCUGGCUGCGCCACACGCGGCUUGCACACGGCCCCGCGCACUCUCCCC
rnacentral:lncRNA from 1 species